UCGACUCCAUCAAGUAUUUUCUACUUGAAAUGUAUUGGAGAUUUAAAUUCCCUAUUUCAAAAGAAACUUUAUCAAUUUUUGUUUUCACAGAAACUUCUCAUAGCACAGAAACGCCAGAAGCCAGAUGAAGACACCUGUCCCUAUCUGCAUGUGGAGCCAUAAGCAGUCAUUCCUAACUUGGCAGCGCUCCUUCCAAGUGACAUUUCCAACACCACCUAGAGGACCAGGAAAUUCAGUCAGGCUGGCGACGCCAGAGGUCAGCAAAGCCGGAACGGGAUACGUCUCCAAUCUUCCAUGGGAGCCACGUAGUUGUCUCUGGGCUUGGAUGGGCUUGACAGCUCCAUCCACAGUACUUGAAGAAACAGCUCUCACUCUUUCAGCCACCCUGGGAUUGGUAACCAAGGAAGGAACAGAAGAAAAAGGUCUUAUUGUUCCUCUUUUGUCCAGGGUAAGAACAACUUUGGAGAUAAAAAUACUUUGUGGGGUUUUUUUUUUUUUUUUUUUUUUGCUACCUUUGUCAAUUUUGCCAUUUUGUGAUUCAGUCAUUAUAUGUUUUUUUAUCAUCAAAGGCACUGGGGAGAGUUUUGUGGGUUAUGUUAAAUCAUGGAACUAGUUGUGAUUCAAACUCAGAUAAAAUCUCUCAAAAUUGAGAUGUAUUCCUGCCAACAUAUCUUUCAAACUUGGAGUUUUUAUUGCGUGCAGUCAGAAUGAAAAGAUUAGACAAAUU
rnacentral:lncRNA from 1 species